GAGUUUGGCACCUCGAUGUCGGCUCAUCACAUCCUGGGGCUGUAGUCGGUCCCAAGGGUAUGGCUGUUCGCCAUUUAAAGUGGUACGUGAGCUGGGUUUAAAACGUCGUGAGACAGUUUGGUCCCUAUCUGCAGUGGGCGUUGGAAGUUUGACGGGGGCUGCUCCUAGUACGAGAGGACCGGAGUGGACGAACCUCUGGUGUACCGGUUGUAACGCCAGUUGCAUAGCCGGGUAGCUAAGUUCGGAAGAGAUAAGCGCUGAAAGCAUCUAAGCGCGAAACUCGCCUGAAGAUGAGACUUCCCUUGCGGUUUAACCGCACUAAAGAGUCGUUCGAGACCAGGACGUUGAUAGGUGGGGUGUGGAAGCGCGGUAACGCGUGAAGCUAACCCAUACUAAUUGCUCGUGAGGCUUGACUCUAU
rnacentral:rRNA from 1 species